rnacentral:tRNA from 1 species
GCGGCCGUAGCUCAGCUGGAUAGAGCGCCUGGCUUCGGACCAGGANNUUCGAAUCCCUCUGGCCGCACCA